UAUGAAUGAAUCUGGAGUGCCUAAU
rnacentral:piRNA from 1 species